rnacentral:tRNA from 1 species
GCGGACGUGAUGGAACUGGUAGACAUACCGGACUUAAAAUCCGGAGGGCACCGCCCGUGCGGGUUCGACUCCCGCCGUCCGCACCA